rnacentral:rRNA from 1 species
GACGAACGCUGGCGGCGUGCUUAACACAUGCAAGUCGAACGGAAAGGCCCUGCUUUUGUGGGGUGCUCGAGUGGCGAACGGGUGAGUAACACGUGAGUAACCUGCCCUUGACUUUGGGAUAACUUCAGGAAACUGGGGCUAAUACCGGAUAGGAGCUCCUGCUGCAUGGUGGGGGUUGGAAAGUUUCGGCGGUUGGGGAUGGACUCGCGGCUUAUCAGCUUGUUGGUGGGGUAGUGGCUUACCAAGGCUUUGACGGGUAGCCGGCCUGAGGGGGUGACCGGCCACAUUGGGACUGAGAUACGGCCCAGACUCCUACGGGAGGCAGCAGUGGGGAAUAUUGCACAAUGGGCGGAAGCCUGAUGCAGCAACGCCGCGUGCGGGAUGACGGCCUUCGGGUUGUAACCCGCUUUCGCCUGUGACGAAGCGUGAGUGACGGUAAUGGGUAAAGAAGCACCGGCUAACUACGUG